AGGGCCGCGUUGCCGGCCAGGCAGGCUUUGCGCACGGGCCACACGAGGGGCGGGGAAGGCAGGCCGGCUCGCUGGGCGCUGAACCCAGGAGGGAGGGGUCCGCCCCCGCACCGGUUCAAGUUGCGGCUCCGUGGCCCGCGCCCCGCGCCGUGCCUUGGAGACGCCGGUACCCGGGUGCCGAGGGACUCGGGAACGCCCGCCUGAGGCUGGGGCCGCGCUGCGGUGCCUCCCACGCUGCGCUCCUGGAUCUGGAGCCUGAAGAAUGGGUGUAAGGACAACCUGAUUUGCCCUAGAAAAGGUAAGUGGGCUGGGCUUGGCCUGGGCACGUUCUCUCCCCACAUAAGACAGUAGCAUAGUGUCCUGGUGGGCCUGGCAGGUGUGGCUGAUAGGGAAUAAACUAGGUUCCAGGCAUUGUAUGCUUUUGGUCAG
rnacentral:lncRNA from 1 species